GACGAACCGUGCGAACGUUGUUCGGAUUCAUUGGGCGUAAAGGGUGCGUAGGCGGCGAGGUAAGUCGGAUGUGAAAUCCCGGGGCUCAACCCCGGAACUGCAUUCGAUACUGCUUUGCUUGAGGACUGGAGAGGAGAUUGGAAUUCACGGUGUAGCAGUGAAAUGCGUAGAUAUCGUGAGGAAGACCAGUGGCGAAGGCGGAUCUCUGGACAGUUCCUGACGCUGAGGCACGAAGGCUAGGGUAGCGAACGGG
rnacentral:rRNA from 1 species